rnacentral:lncRNA from 15 species
AUGGAAAGUGCCCUGAGAGACUGUUACAACACCACAGUCUGGGAUGUGCUGAUCAACCCGCAUGAUGAGGACAUAGAGGGGAUGACACAUUGUCUGACAGACUACCUGAACUUUUGCGCAGACGUGGUCUCCCCUGUCAAGACUGUCCGCUGUUACCCUAAUAACAAGCCGUGGGUAACGUGGGAAGUCAAGGCUGUCCUCAACAAGAAGAAGGCUGCCUUCAGGUGCAGGGACAGGGAGGCCAUGAAGGCAGCACAGCAGGAGGUGAAACACUGUGUGAGGGAAGCGAAUGACAGCUACAGAAGAAAGGUGGAGCAGAAGCUGAGGGAGAACAACAUGAGGGAGGUCUGGGAAGGUGUGAGGACCAUCACAGGCCACAACACAAAGACCAGAGCUACAGGGGGGACAAUGGAGAGGGCGAAAGAGCUGAAUGACUUCUUCAACAGGUUUAACCAGCCCUUGUCCCCCCCACCCCCACCCCCACUGCAGCCAUCUCUCCUUCUUCCCUCAACACCACAACACCCCCCUCCUCCUCCCCCACCUCAACACAAUCCCCGCCUCACAUCACCAGACCAGGUCAGAGGACAGCUGAGGAAGCUCCGGCCCAGGAAAGCAGCAGGCCCGGACAAAGUGUGUCCGAGACUACUGAAGACCUGUGUUGCAGAACUGGGGGAACCACUACAACGGAUCUUCAACUUUAGCCUGCAGCUAGGGAGAGUGCCCACCCUCUGGAAGACAUCCUGCAUCAUUCCGGUUCCCAAGAAGAACAGGCCCAGCGAGCUGAAUGACUUCCGACCAGUGGCACUCACUUCACACCUUAUGAAGACGUUGGAGCGGCUCUUCCUCAGCCUCCUCAGACCCCAAGUACAACACGCCCAGGACCGCCUGGAGUUUGCAUACCAGCCAGAUGUUGGUGUGGAGGAUGCCAUCCUCUACAUGCUACACCGAGUCGACUCCCAUCUGGAUAAGGGAAGCGGCACAGUGAGGAUUCCCUUCUUGGACUUCUCCAGUGCCUUUAAUACCAUCCAGCCCCCUACAUUUCAGGACAAACUGAACAGGAUGGGACUGGACCCCUGUCUGGUGGACUGGAUCAAAGAUUACCUCACUGACAGGCCACAAUACGUCAGGCUGAAGGACACCACGUCUGACACUGUGGUCAGCAGCACUGGAGCCCCCCAGGGCACAGUGCUGGCCCCUCUUCUCUUCACCCUGUACACCUCUGACUUUUGUUACAACUCGGAGCUGUGUCACAUACAGAAGUACGCUGAUGACACAGCCAUCGUUGGGUGUAUCAGGGGUGACAGAGGAGGAGUAUCGGAGUCUGGUGGGGGACUUGCUCUCUGGUGUCACACUAACUGCCUACAGCUCAACACCUCUAAGACGAAGGAGCUGGUCAUUGACUUUGGGAGGUCCAGACCAAGAGCGCGACUAGUCCUGCUAGAGGGAGCUGAGGUGGAGGCUGUGGAAUCGUACAAAUACCUAGGACUGUGGCUGGAUAAUAAACUGGACUGGACAACANNNNNNNNNNNNNNNNNNNNGUACAGGAAGACACAGAGGCAGGUUGUACUUCCUUAG